GGUUAAGUGACUAAGCGUACACGGUGGAUGCCUUGGCAGUCAGAGGCGAUGAAAGACGUAGUAACUUGCGAUAAGCCCAGAUUAGGUAGUAACAACCAUUUGAGUCUGGGAUUUCUGAAUGGGGAAACCCACGUGCAUAAGCACGUAUCCUUACCUGAAUACAUAGGGUAAGGAGGCGAACCGGGGGAACUGAAACAUCUAAGUACCCCGAGGAAAAGAAAUCAACCGAGAUUCCGAAAGUAGCGGCGAGCGAAAUUGGACUAGCCCUUAAGCUUUACACGCGUUAGACGAACGGUCUGGAAAGUCCGACGAUACAGGGUGAUAGUCCCGUAGUUGACGACGUGUGUUCAGUGAAAUCGAGUAGGGCGGGACACGUGAUAUCCUGUCUGAAUAUGGGGGGACCAUCCUCCAAGGCUAAAUACUACUGACUGACCGAUAGUGAACCAGUACCGUGAGGGAAAGGCGAAAAGAACCCCUGUGAGGGGAGUGAAAUAGAACCUGAAACCGUGUACGUACAAGCAGUAGGAGCACCUUCGUGGUGUGACUGCGUACCUUUUGUAUAAUGGGUCAGCGACUUAUAUUCAGUGGCAAGGUUAACCAUCUAGGGGAGCCGUAGGGAAACCGAGUCUUAACUGGGCGUUCAGUCUCUGGAUAUAGACCCGAAACCAGGUGAUCUAGCCAUGGGCAGGUUGAAGGUUGAGUAACAUCAACUGGAGGACCGAACCGACUAAUGUUGAAAAAUUAGCGGAUGACUUGUGGCUAGGGGUGAAAGGCCAAUCAAACCUGGAGAUAGCUGGUUCUCCCCGAAAGCUAUUUAGGUAGCGCCUCGGACGAAUACUACUGGGGGUAGAGCACUGUUAAGGCUAGGGGGUCAUCCCGACUUACCAACCCUUUGCAAACUCCGAAUACCAGUAAGUACUAUCCGGGAGACACACGGCGGGUGCUAACGUCCGUCGUGGAGAGGGAAACAACCCAGACCGCCAGCUAAGGUCCCAAAUUACUACUAAGUGGGAAACGAUGUGGGAAGGCUCAGACAGCCAGGAUGUUGGCUUAGAAGCAGCCAUCAUUUAAAGAAAGCGUAAUAGCUCACUGGUCGAGUCGGCCUGCGCGGAAGAUGUAACGGGGCUAAGUAGUAAACCGAAGCUGCGGCAAUACUCUUUGAGUAUUGGGUAGGGGAGCGUUCUGUAAGCGGUUGAAGGUGUGUGGUAACGCAUGCUGGACGUAUCAGAAGUGCGAAUGCUGACAUGAGUAACGAUAAAGGGGGUGAAAAACCUCCUCGCCGGAAGACCAAGGGUUCCUGUCCAACGUUAAUCGGGGCAGGGUAAGUCGACCCCUAAGGCGAGGCCGAAAGGCGUAGUCGAUGGGAAACGGGUUAAUAUUCCCGUACUUCUUACAAUUGCGAUGGGGGGACGGAGAAGGCUAGGUGGGCCUGGCGACGGUUGUCCAGGUUCAAGUGCGUAGGCUUAAGAGUUAGGUAAAUCCGGCUCUUUUUAAGGCUGAGACACGACGUCGAGCACCUACGGGUGUGAAGUCAUUGAUGCCAUGCUUCCAGGAAAAGCCUCUAAGCUUCAGAUUGUAAGGAAUCGUACCCCAAACCGACACAGGUGGUCGGGUAGAGAAUACCAAGGCGCUUGAGAGAACUCGGGUGAAGGAACUAGGCAAAAUGGUACCGUAACUUCGGGAGAAGGUACGCUCUUGAUGGUGAAGUCCCUUGCGGAUGGAGCUGACGAGAGUCGCAGAUACCAGGUGGCUGCAACUGUUUAUUAAAAACACAGCACUGUGCAAAAUCGUAAGAUGACGUAUACGGUGUGACGCCUGCCCGGUGCCGGAAGGUUAAUUGAUGGGGUUAGACUUCGGUCGAAGCUCUUGAUCGAAGCCCCGGUAAACGGCGGCCGUAACUAUAACGGUCCUAAGGUAGCGAAAUUCCUUGUCGGGUAAGUUCCGACCUGCACGAAUGGCGUAAUGAUGGCCACGCUGUCUCCACCCGAGACUCAGUGAAAUUGAAAUCGCUGUGAAGAUGCAGUGUACCCGCGGCUAGACGGAAAGACCCCGUGAACCUUUACUACAGCUUGGCACUGAACAUUGACCCUACAUGUGUAGGAUAGGUGGGAGGCUUUGAAGCACGUACGCCAGUAUGUGUGGAGCCGUCCUUGAAAUACCACCCUUGUAGUGUUGAUGUUCUAACGUCGACCCCUUAUCGGGGUUGCGGACAGUGCCUGGUGGGUAGUUUGACUGGGGCGGUCUCCUCCCAAAGAGUAACGGAGGAGCACGAAGGUGGGCUAAUCACGGUUGGACAUCGUGAGGUUAGUGCAAUGGCAUAAGCCCGCUUGACUGCGAGAAUGACAAUUCGAGCAGGUGCGAAAGCAGGUCAUAGUGAUCCGGUGGUUCUGAAUGGAAGGGCCAUCGCUCAACGGAUAAAAGGUACUCCGGGGAUAACAGGCUGAUACCGCCCAAGAGUUCAUAUCGACGGCGGUGUUUGGCACCUCGAUGUCGGCUCAUCACAUCCUGGGGCUGAAGUCGGUCCCAAGGGUAUGGCUGUUCGCCAUUUAAAGUGGUACGCGAGCUGGGUUUAGAACGUCGUGAGACAGUUCGGUCCCUAUCUGCCGUGGGCGUUGGAAGAUUGAAGGGGGCUGCUCCUAGUACGAGAGGACCGGAGUGGACGAACCUCUGGUGUUCGGGUUGUGUCGCCAGACGCAUUGCCCGGUAGCUAAGUUCGGAAUCGAUAACCGCUGAAAGCAUCUAAGCGGGAAGCGAGCCCUGAGAUGAGUCUUCCCUGAUACUUUAAGUAUCCUAAAGGGUUGUCGGAGACUACGACGUUGAUAGGUCAGGUGUGUAAGUGCUGUGAGGCAUUGAGCUAACUGAUACUAAUUGCCCGUGAGGCUUAACCAU
rnacentral:rRNA from 1 species